rnacentral:rRNA from 1 species
UUUCCAGACUCCUACGGGAGGCAGCAGUGAGGGAUAUUGGUCAAUGGGGGAAACCCUGAACCAGCAACGCCGCGUGAGGGAAGACGGUUUUCGGAUUGUAAGCCUCUGUCCUCUGUGAAGAUAAUGACGGUAGCAGAGGAGGAAGCUCCGGCUAACUACGUGCCAGCAGCCGCGGUAAUACGUAGGGAGCGAGCGUUGUCCGGAUUUACUGGGUGUAAAGGGUGCGUAGGCGGGUAAGCAAGUCAGAAGUGAAAUCCAUGGGCUUAACCCAUGAACUGCUUUUGAAACUGUUUAUCUUGAGUGAAGUAGAGGUAGGCGGAAUUCCCGGUGUAGCGGUGAAAUGCGUAGAGAUCGGGAGGAACACCAGUGGCGAAGGCGGCCUACUGGGCUUUAACUGACGCUGAAGCACGAAAGCGUGGGUAUCGAACAGGAUUAGAUACCCCCGUA